AGUGAACGCUGGCGGUAGGCCUAACACAUGCAAGUCGAACGGCAGCACAGUAAGAGCUUGCUCUUACGGGUGGCGAGUGGCGGACGGGUGAGGAAUACAUCGGAAUCUACUUUUUCGUGGGGGAUAACGUAGGGAAACUUACGCUAAUACCGCAUACGACCUACGGGUGAAAGCAGGGGAUCUUCGGACCUUGCGCGAUUGAAUGAGCCGAUGUCGGAUUAGCUAGUUGGCGGGGUAAAGGCCCACCAAGGCGACGAUCCGUAGCUGGUCUGAGAGGAUGAUCAGCCACACUGGAACUGAGACAGGGUCCAGACUCCUACGGGAGGCAGCAGUGGGGAAUAUUAGACAAUGGGCGCAAGCCUGAUCCAGCCAUACCGCGUGGGUGAAGAAGGCCUUCGGGUUGUGAAGCCAUUUUGUUGGGAAAGAAACGCAGCAGGUUAAUACCCCGCUGUUCUGACGGUACCCAAAGAAUAAGCACCGGCUAACUUCGUG
rnacentral:rRNA from 1 species